CCUACGGGUGGCAGCAGUCGAGAAUCAUUCACAAUGGGGGAAACCCUGAUGGUGCGACGCCGCGUGGGGGAAUGAAGGUCUUCGGAUUGUAAACCCCUGUCAUGUGGGAGCAAAUUAAAAAGAUAGUACCACAAGAGGAAGAGACGGCUAACUCUGUGCCAGCAGCCGCGGUAAUACAGAGGUCUCAAGCGUUGUUCGGAAUCACUGGGCGUAAAGCGUGCGUAGGCUGUUUCGUAAGUCGUGUGUGAAAGGCGCGGGCUCAACCCGCGGACGGCACAUGAUACUGCGAGACUAGAGUAAGGGAGGGGGGAGCGGAAUUCUCGGUGUAGCAGUGAAAUGCGUAGAUAUCGAGAGGAACACUCGUGGCGAAGGCGGGUUCCUGGACAUUAACUGACGCUGAGGCACGAAGGCCAGGGGAGCGAAAGGGAUUAGAUACCCUAGUAGUC
rnacentral:rRNA from 1 species